CUACGGGUGGCAGCAGCAGGGAAUAUUGCACAAUGGACGGAAGUCUGAUGCAGCGACGCCGCGUGGAUGAUGAAGGCCCUCGGGUUGUAAAAUCCUUUUCAGGGGGACGAGGAAGGACGGUACCCUUGGAAUAAGCGUCGGCUAACUACGUGCCAGCAGCCGCGGUAAGACGUAGGACGCAAGCGUUAUCCGGAUUUACUGGGCGUAAAGCGUCUGUAGGCGGAAUGGUAAGUUGGACGUGAAAGCUCCGAGCUCAACCCGGAGAGGUCGUUCAAUACUGCCAAACUAGAGGGCAUCAGAGGAGCGUGGAAUUUCCGGUGUAGCGGUAAAAUGCGCAGAUAUCGGAAGGAACACCAAUGGCGAAGGCAGCGCUCUGGGAUGAACCUGACGCUAAGAGACGAAAGCUAGGGGAGCGAACAGGAUUAGAUACCCCGGUAGUC
rnacentral:rRNA from 1 species